rnacentral:ncRNA from 1 species
GGGAGCGGUGUGAACCGAGAGGCUCACGCACCGUUCUGCGGUAACCGGCAUGAGGCCCCCACCUAGCCGCC